rnacentral:rRNA from 1 species
GAUGAACGCUGGCGGCGCGCCUAACACAUGCAAGUCGAACGAUUAAAGCACCUUCGGGUGUGUAUAAAGUGGCGAACGGCUGAGUAACACGUGGGCAACCUGCCCCUCUCAUUGGGAUAGCCACGGGAAACCGUGGAUAAUACCGAAUACUUCGGGACUUCCGCAUGGAAGACUCGAGAAAGCUCCGGCGGAGAGGGAUGGGCCCGCGGCCUGUUAGCUUGUUGGUGGGGUAACGGCCUACCAAGGCAAUGAUGGGUAGCUGGGUUGAGAGACCGACCAGCCAGAUUGGGACUGAGACACGGCCCAGACUCCUACGGGAGGCAGCAGUGGGGAAUCUUGCACAAUGGGCGAAAGCCUGAUGCAGCGACGCCGCGUGCGGGAUGAAGGCCUUCGGGUUGUAAACCGCUUUCAGCAGGGACGAGGCGAAAGUGACGGUACCUGCAGAAGAAGCCCCGGCUAACUACGUGCCAGCAGCCGCGGUAAUACGUAGGGGGCAAGCGUUAUCCGGAUUCAUUGGGCGUAAAGCGCUCGUAGGCGGUCUGUUAGGUCGGGAGUUAAAUCCGGGGGCUCAACCCCCGUUCGCUCCCGAUACCGGCAGACUUGAGUUUGGUAGGGGAAGGUGGAAUUCCUAGUGUAGCGGUGGAAUGCGCAGAUAUUAGGAAGAACACCAGUGGCGAAUGCGGCCUUCUGGGCCAUAACUGACGCUGAGGAGCGAAAGCUAGGGGAGCAAACAGG